rnacentral:lncRNA from 1 species
AAUCUCUAUUUGCAAACCAGUUUAAAGAGUCAAAUCAUUUUGAAAAGGAUUUUCUAAGGUGACUUGGCAUACCAAAUUAUGUCGAGCGGCGACUCUGAUUAAAAAUGUAAAUAAUCUUUUUUUGAAACAAAUUUUUAAUCUUUUGUCACUUCAAUAAAUAAAAACCCUUUUGAAAUUUAAAAUUAAUCUUUUUGGUUAAAAAAAGGGGUGUGACAGUUAGUAUUUCAUUUUUCUGAAUAAAAUCGAAUAAUAUAAGCCUGUUUUGACCGUGAGGAAGAAGACAGGCUUGGGGAAAGUUAGUGUUGUAAAACAUGCCAUAAGUGAUAUUGAUUAGGCACUUUCACAUUGCAUGAUAUGUACUAGCAUCUUCAAGGAUUGAUAUGACGAAGGCAUUUUAGUUUGCUAUUCAAAUAUUGUGUCAUCCUUUGUUUACCCCAUUUGAGCUUUAGUUCUACCCCACUUUCUUUUGACUAGGCAAUUCUAAAAUUAAAUAAUAUAAGCCUGUUUUGACUGGCUCUAAUGAUUGAGUCGAUUCCAAAAGUUGUAUGUCCUACCCCACUUCAAGUGUUGUUUGGGCCUCAAGUCAUCCUUUCUUUCUAACCUUAUCCAAAAGCCAAGUUACAACCAAAUAAAAACCUUUAGAUCAAUCUUUGAGAAUGUUAAGGCUAAGCAUGCAAUGGAUAUGAUGAUGCAUUUUUGGUACUACUUUUCUUCCUCAGCAUAAAAUUAUGAGAGAAAUACAAAUGAGAGAUUCUUAUUGGUGAAAAUCCUUUCGGGCAGCAUAAGACGAUGGACAGUUGAGAGAAAUAAAAAUCAGAGAGCCUUAUUGGUGAAAACCCUCACGAGCAUCAUCAGGCGAUGUGGAGUUGAGAGAAAGAAUGAAAGGUUUGUUGGCAAAAACCCUUCAAGGUGCCACUAGCCGAAUAAGGUCUUAAAUGCAAUUGACCUAAGAAAGCAACUCAAUUUUGAGGUCAUUAACUCAACAACAAUUAGUAAAAAGUUUUGGAUGAAAAGAUCAGACAGUUUAAUCCGAUAUGCAUGGCAUAAUCAUUAGAGUGGACUGUCAUUUCUAGAUAAAUUUUUCAUUUCUUUGUUUUAAAUGGGGACAUUCAUUAUCUUUUCUUUCUUCUUAUUAUUUUUAUUUUAUUUUCUUGAGUCAGUGGUCCAAAUAAAAGUCAUUGUUAUUUUUCUCUUAUCUUUGAGUCAAGUCCAUAUCAAAACAAGUGAGAAAAGAUUUCAAUACUGGCUACCAGUUUCUUCAAUUGCACAAAGAAAGACAAAGUCAGCAUAUGAAAGAGACAUGAUUGUGAGCUGAAUAAGGCAUCCAGAAAGUUUUGUCAACAGACAAGCUAGGGAACUUAUGAAAAUACUAAGGUUUAAAGGAUUUAUCUGAGAAGCAUGACAAAGCAGAGAUACUGUAUUUAUUUCAGAUUCACUCUUAAUAAUCUGAGUUUGGGUCAAUGAUAUGACAAAGCAGGGACAAGUGCCAGCAAUCUAAAACAAAAUGAAGGAAAUGAACACUAGAGUAGGUGUCGGGACAGCCAAGUGCCGCAAGCCACCACUAAGUUUUUAACUGACAAAUUUUCUUUGUUGAAAUAGGGGAAAAUUCGCUUCACUUAAUUCAGCUACCAUUGGAAAUGCACAUCCGUGAGAUUUUACUUUCUGUUUAGGACCUUCCUGAAAAAUAGGAUUUUACUUUCUGCUCAGGACCCUCCUGAAAAAUGAGAUUUUACAUUUUGUUUAGGACCCUCCUGGAAAAAAGAAUUUUACUUUCAGUUCAGGACCCUCCUGGAAAAUGAAAAUUUACUUUCUGUUAAGGACCCUACUGGAAAAUAGGACUUUAGUUUCUAUUCAGGACCCUCCUGAAAAAUGGGACUUUACUUUCUGUUCAGGACCCUCCUGAAAAAAUGAAAUUUUACUUUAUGUUCAGGACCCUCCUGGAAAAUGAGAUUUUACUUCAUGUUCAGGACCCUUAGGGAAAAUGGAAAUUUACUAUCUGCUCAGGACCCUCCUGGAAAAUGAAAAUUUUACAUUCUGUUCAAGACCCUUUUAAAAAAUGGGAUACCUUAUGUUCAAGACCCUUCUAGAAAAUGGGAAUUUAAUUUAUGCUCAGGACCAUCUUGAAAAAUGGGAAUUUACUUUAUGUUAAAGACCCUCUUGGAAAAUGGAAAUUUAGUUCAUGUUCAAGACCCUCCUGGAAAUAGGAAUUUACUUCAUGUUCAGGACCCUCCUGAAAAAUGAGAAUUUACUUUAUGUUCAGGACCCUCCUGAAAAAUGGGACAUUACUUUCAACAAAAAAUGAAUGAAUGAAAUCUUUCUUUAUCAUAAUCUUUGUUUGGGAUAAUUUUCAUUUUAGUUUUGAUUUUGAUUUCAGGAGCCCGCCUGAAGAAUAGGGUGAUAAAAUUGGAAGUCAGGAGCCCGCCUGAAGAACGGGGUGAUGAAAUUAAAAGUCAGGAGCCCGCAAUAAGUGAUGAAAUUUUAAGUCAGGAGCCCGCCUGAAGAACAAGGUGAUGAAAAUUGAAAGUCAGGAGCCCACUUGAAGAACAGGGUGAUAAAAUUACAAGUCAGGAGCCCGCCUGAAGAACAGGGUGAUGAAAUGGCAAGUCAGGAGGUCGCAUGAAGAAUGGGGUGAUGAAAUUGAAAGUCAAGUAACAAGGUUAAGAGAUUGAAAGUCAAGCAACAAGGUCAAGAAGUUGAAAGUCAAACAACAAGUUGAAGAAAUUGAAGGCCAAACAACAAGUUGAAGAAAUUGCAAGUCAGGAGCCCGCCUGAAGAAUAGGGUGAUGAAACUCAAGUCAAGAGUCCAAAAGAAGCUGCAUAGGUAGGAUUUUUGUAUUUUCAUUUAUGUUUUGACUUGUAAUUUUUAUUUUUGAUGUAAUGACAGAGCAGCGGAUUGGAACCUCGAUGAACUUCACUCGACUCUCCAACUUGGUAUAGUCCCUCUCUUUCCAACCCUUUGAGAUACCUAUGACUUGAUUGCCUCACAACUUGGGUAAGUAGGAGUGUCUUAAGUCAAGAUGUAGUUGUCUUUCUUCCUUCUGUUUAAUUCUUUUUGAAUGAUAAUUGGGACAAAUUUUUGUCUCGUUGUCUACUUCUUUGUCUGAAAACACUUCAUGUUUACAUUCAAAGGGGGCAUAUUGUAGAUACCUAAUUUUGUCCCUCCUAAGUCCAAUUUUAUUUAUUUUAGCUCACCUUACCACACACCCUCAUCUAUGUGAUUAUAUCCCACAAAAAUACAAAAAAUAACAAUCCUUAACAUAAUCCCUAACAAAUUCUAUCUUGUUUAAUCCUAUCCUAACCAACUUUACACCUCAUCCUAAUAACCCACCCCACCCCCUACUCACCACCACAUACCCUCAAUUCCCCUACCCCUCACGUCUUAUUCAAGAUGGAACCAAUUCAUAAAGACACAAAAUAGAAGAGGGCCCACUUGAAAGAUGUUUUUUGAUCUUUUUCCAUUUUUCAUAAAGGAGAACAAAAAUACACUCAAAAAGACUCCAUUUUCUUUUGGGGCCCACACGAUAUUCCUUUUUCUUAUUUUCUUUCCAAAUUAAUAGAGGGCCCCACAUGGAAUAUAGACUCCUCCAUUUUUUUUCAAUACAAAUACUCACCAUCAUCACACAAUACAGAAAAAAAUAGAGGAGACACCAUCUUCUUCCAUAGAUAAAAUCGUAUACCAUCUUCUCUACGAGAUUCCACAUAGUAACAUUCUCACCAUUUUUUACCACUUUUAGAGAAAACAUGCACUCAUAGUGAGAUCAAAAUAGAGAGAGAGGAGAGAGGGAAUUGAAGAGAGACAUCAAGUGAGAAGAGAAAGAUUGAGAUUGAGAGGGAGAGAUAGAGAUCGACAUCAAGAGGGAGAAAUCGGCUGAGAGAGACGGCGAGAGAGGAAAGAUGAGUAAAAAUCAGUGAUCCAUCACUGAUGUCGUCACUGUUUCGGCAUCGUGACUCUCAUCAGAGCUUCGAAUAGGCCCGUUAGGACCCAACGGACUGCUUUGGUCGAACCAUUACCGGACAACGAAGUCCGGCAAACUGAAAACUAGUUUUGUCUUCUCAAUCCCGAUCAAAAUCGAUCUUUUUGGGUCAGUUCUGGCAAGAUUAUGCCGGAAUAACAUUGAAAUCAGAUCCACCAGUUGUAGAUCGGUGAAACCCGAUCCAAAAUCCAUUAAAAACGCGAUCCUAUUUCAGUUUUUCCAGCGUUUCCAGCAAAGUUUGGUGGAAAUUGUGUUUGGGUUUCUCGGUUUCAUAAGUUCCAUCUUGGUUUUUUUGAUUCCAUCAUCGUCAAAUCUGUUCGAGUCGUAGUUUUUAAUAUCGAGUCUGAGUUUAGUCGUAUUGAGGCUGAGUAGAGGUUCAUGGAUGUGGAUUCUGUCUCUCUACCCGAGUAAUACUAAAUAUCAAAAACUUCUUUCGAGGUCCAAUUCUAACUCUUCUCAUUUUAUCUCAUUAUACGAGUUUGAUUUGCGUGAGACAUGAUUGAAUAUUGAGUGAUACCGAAUUGUUGCUUGAUUUUGUUGAAAAAAUGAUUCUAGAUUAUUGAAAUGGUAAUCGUGAAAUGUAGAAAUUUAGUGUUAAAAGGGAAUUUGGGGCGGAAUUUAGAAAUUGAUGAAAAAGGAUGAAUUUAGGUAAAUUUUGGUUUAUUGUUGUGUUUAAUUCGGAAUAAAUAUCAAGUUUGUGAACUCGAUAGGAGCAUAUUUUAGGCCGGAACUUAAUAGGCAAAGUUUAGGUUCGGGUAGGCAAAUUUGAAAUUUGUGGAAUAUUGAAUGGUUAAAAUGCGUGUUGAAUGGUUUGGCUAUAUUGCUUUUGGAUCGAAUGUAUCAUUUGGUCGGGGAAUGCUCCGAGGUAUUUGUGUUUAUACGUCGAGGAAUGCUCCAAAGUAUUUUAUACCUGGAGGACGUUCGUGACAAAGGACCGAUGCAUCGGGUGGAGCUUAGUCUAGGAUUAGCUUAGAAUAGGAUUUGUAUUUUUCACAUUUUUCUAUUUUGGACUGUAUAAUUUGACUGGACAUUAUGAUUUUGGAUUUGUUUUGUUUUGAUUGAUUGUUUUUGUGUGUUUUAUGUGGUUUAUAUAUUGGUAGUGUCAAAUUAGCCGAUAUUUUUCACCAAGCGACAGUGGUCAAACCACGGGAUCGAGGGGUGCCUAACACCUUUCCUUCGGUCAAUAGAAUUCCUUAACCGGAAUCUCUGUUUGCAAACCAGUUUAAAAAGUCAAAUCAUUUUGAAAAGGAUUUUCUAAGGUGACUUGGCACACCAGAUUAUGUCGAGUGGCGACUCUGAUUAAAAAUGUAAAUAAUCCUUUUUCAAAAUAGAUUUUCAAUCUUUUGUCACUUCAAUAAAUAAAAAUCCUUUCGAAAUUUAAAAUUAAUCUUUUUGGUUAAAAAAGGGGUGUGACAGUUAGUAUUUCAUUUUUCUGAAUAAAAUUGAAUAAUAUAAGCCUGUUUAUUGUGUGAGAAAAUAUUUCUUUAAAAUUCCUCCAUAUUUGAUAUUCGAAGCAUUUGCUUUUAUUAUUAUUUUUAAUUGAAAUUGACCAAUGUAAGGCGUGAUAGGUUAUUAAUCUUUGCCUUAAUAUUUUUCAUGGCUUUAGUAUGACUCUCUGUUCAUGCAUUUGGACUUUUUUUCAAUCUAUCAUAUAACAUAAUUGUAUCUUUUGUGAGUUCCUUUAUAAAAGGAGAAAUAUAAUUCAGACUACCCAAAAAUUUCUACAAUUGAGUUUUAUCUGUUAUAACAUCAAAAAAUUUAGAAGCAAAUUUUAUGCUUCUACUUAUAGGGAUUAUUUUUUCAUGGUCAAUAUUAUGACCUAAGAACCUUAUUUUUGUCUAAAAAAGGAGUAUUUUGAAUUUAGAUAUUACUAACCCAUUUUAUAUAAUGAUUUUCUUAAAAAGAUCCAAAUGUCUAAAAUGAAUUUCUCUGUCUUUUGAAAAUACUAGAAUGUCAUUAAUAUAAAUAAUUAUAAAAUUAUUGUAAGGCAUAAAAAUAUCAUUCAUAGUAUUUUGAAAUCUAGAGAAAGUAUUUUUUAAUCCGAAAGGCAAUACAUUUCAUUCGAAUUGACCCAUGAAAACAUUAAAAACAGUUUUAUAUUUAUCUGCUCCAGUUAUUUAAAUUUGCAAAUAUCCUGAUUUUAAAUAAAAGUAAAAAAAUUAUGACAUCAUACAACCUAUCCAAUAGGUCCUUAUUAUUAGGAAUUGAAUACCUAAUCCAUCUGAAAACUUUGUUGAGAGGCAUAAACUUAUAACUAAUUCGAAAAUUUCUCUUUUCUGUUCAACAGGUUUAUUAACAUAAAAGACAGUGUAUGAUCAAGGUGAUUUAGAAGGUUUUAUAAGGCCUUUACUCAAAAGAGAGUCAAUUUUUUUUCUGCAUAAUUUUAAAUAUUCAGAAUUCAUUUGACAAGGUCUAGCUUUAGUAGGAAUCUUAUCCUCUUUAAAACUAUCUUCUUAUGAAAGACAAACAAUAUGUUUCUUUCUUUGUCAAAAAGUAUUUGGGUGAUCUCCACAUAUUUUCAAAUAAAAUAGAUUUUUCAAAAAAAAAAAUAUUUUUUCAAUUAAUUUAGGAUUUUUCAAAAUUUGUUCUAUUGUCAAACUAUAAAUCUCAUUGUUUAGAAAAUCAACUUGUCUAUUUUUUGAAAGAAAUCAGAAAACAGCCGAUGGACAUAUCCCUGGCCAAGGAAUAGUUGGUUCCAUCAAAGCAACCAUUAUCAAAUACAAAGAACAACGAGAUAUGGCGUCAUUACAAGAUAGGGAUGAAAUUAAUCCUUUUAAGAGUAUUACUCGAAGACUUCAUAUCGACAAAUAUUGUCAGUACAUCAGAUCCUAAUAAGGAUCAGUAGAUAUACCAUGAAUUUUUGAAUUUUGUAAAAUUUCAAAAAGAGAUUGUCUGUGGUAUGAACAACAAAUGUCAU